UUCAAACCCAACUACACCCCUAGCUCUUAUAGCCCCACAACCCCCCUAGGCACCGUGUGCUUGGUUUUAGGUUGGGGCGACCGCGGAGUACAAUAAAACCUCCACAAUGAAUGGGAACACCCCCUUAUCUGAGGGCCACACCCCCUAAGAAUUAGAACACUAACAUAAAAUGAUCCAUUAUUUGAUCAAUGAACCAAGUUACCCUGGGGAUAACAGCGCAA
rnacentral:rRNA from 1 species